AGAGUUUGCUCCGGGCUCAGNNUGAACGGGGGNCGCNNNCCUCACACACACAAGUAGAGNGGUAGCACAGAGAGCUUGCUCUCGGGUGACGAGCGGCGGACGGGUGAGUAAUGUCUGGGAAACUGCCUGAUGGAGGGGGAUAACUACUGGAAACGGUAGCUAAUACCGCAUAAUGUCGCAAGACCAAAGAGGGGGACCUUCGGGCCUCUUGCCAUCAGAUGUGCCCAGAUGGGAUUAGCUAGUAGGUGGGGUAACGGCUCACCUAGGCGACGAUCCCUAGCUGGUCUGAGAGGAUGACCAGCCACACUGGAACUGAGACACGGUCCAGACUCCUACGGGAGGCAGCAGUGGGGAAUAUUGCACAAUGGGCGCAAGCCUGAUGCAGCCAUGCCGCGUGUAUGAAGAAGGCCUUCGGGUUGUAAAGUACUUUCAGCGGGGAGGAAGGUGUUGAGGUUAAUAACCUCAGCAAUUGACGUUACCCGCAGAAGAAGCACCGGCUAACUCCGUGCCAGCAGCCGCGGUAAUACGGAGGGUGCAAGCGUUAAUCGGAAUUACUGGGCGUAAAGCGCACGCAGGCGGUCUGUCAAGUCGGAUGUGAAAUCCCCGGGCUCAACCUGGGAACUGCAUCCGAAACUGGCAGGCUUGAGUCUUGUAGAGGGGGGUAGAAUUCCAGGUGUAGCGGUGAAAUGCGUAGAGAUCUGGAGGAAUACCGGUGGCGAAGGCGGCCCCNNNACAAAGACNG
rnacentral:rRNA from 1 species